UAAGGAAUAUUGGUCAAUGGACGCAAGUCUGAACCAGCCAUGCCGCGUGAAGGAUGAAGGUCCUCUGGAUUGUAAACUUCUUUUAUCUGGGACGAAAACGGGAUUUUUAUCUCAAUUGACGGUACCAGAGGAAUAAGCACCGGCUAACUCCGUGCCAGCAGCCGCGGUAAUACGGAGGGUGCGAGCGUUAUCCGGAUUUACUGGGUUUAAAGGGUGCGUAGGUGGGCUUAUAAGUAAGUGGUGAAAUCUCCGAGCUUAACUUGGAAACUGCCGUUGGUACAAUAGGUCUUGAAUUAUCUGGAGGUAAGCGGAAUAUGUCAUGUAGCGGUGAAAUGCUUAGAUAUGACAUAGAACACCAAUUGCGAAGGCAGCUUACUACAUAUAAAUUGACGCUGAGGCACGAAAGCGUGGGGAUCAAACA
rnacentral:rRNA from 1 species